GAGAGUCUAGUUUAAAUUUAGAAUAAUUAAUUUUUAAUUAAUUGGUUUUGGCUUUUG
rnacentral:tRNA from 1 species